CGGUAAGAGCUCAAAUUUGAAAGCUGGCUCCUUCGGGGUCCGCAUUGUAAUUUGCAGAGGAUGUUUCGGGAGCAGCCCCCAUCUAAGUGUCCUGGAACGGACCGUCAUAGAGGGUGAGAAUCCCGUAUGGGAUGGGGUGUCUGCGCCCAUGUGAAACUCCUUCGAC
rnacentral:rRNA from 1 species